CAUUCAUAAUGUAAUAUCCUUCAAAUUGAUCUGUUUUAUGGAACAUAGUAUUUAGGAUAUAUGUAUACGUACAUAAAUAUAUACAUAUCGAUUAUGACGAUUUAUCUCGUUAAACGAGAGUAGUAUCUUUAUAUCGUUCACUCUAGAGGACAUAUAAACACAUUAGCACGACUUCCAAGAAAGAGAGAGAAAGAGACAGAGAGAGAGAGAGAGAGAGAAAUAGAGAAACAGAUAAUGUGUAAACACAGGAUGAUACACGGAUUACUCACGAAAACGGAGAAGUUAGUCUCUCUCAAGGAGUUCCUUCGUGUGGAUGUUGGCAGUCAUACUGUGGUCUUUACUUAACUAAUGUAUCUGCAUCGUGUUACUUCUUUUUAAAGUGUGCGAAAGAAUAAACGUGAGAAGAAAUAAAGAAGUCGACAUUGGAAGGGAAAAUUUUUAUCGUCGAGCUAAACUCCAAGUUGUACAUUUAAGAGGCAACAAAUUGACUUUACAAAUUAGUCCUAGAAUUUAUUAGCCGAGGCACCUAGAUAAGAUAGUAGUAACGUAACCGUUCUCUCGAAAUGGUGUUGGAGAGUAACAAGAGUGAGGAGAUUGGAAGGAGGGGUUGAAAUUUACCAAGCGGACGAGGAUGAGAACGAUGAGGACGAAGGAUGACGCGAUGAGGACGAGGACAACGUCGACAAGAGCUUACCUACCUACGCGCUUAAGGCAUUAACUUUGUUGUUUCGAGAGGCACCAACCAAGAAGAGAAGAUAUCGAGUAAUAUAGGUCGGUUGAGGAGGUAAGGAAGGAAGGAAGGAAGGAAGGAAGGAGGGUGUACCACCUACUGGAAAUGUUGAAACGAAAGGAAAUAGAGGGCACGUUGGACAAGCACGUCGGUCUUCCGGCUGAGAAUCUUGACGAAAGGACUGAUAGAGGAAAGAGAGAAUCUUGCUAGCGGAAAUUCCGUUUUACGAGUAUCCGCAAUGUCCGGAACGCGAAGGAAGAAGAAGAACAAGAAGAAGUACAAGAAAAGGAAAAAGAGAGAGAGAGAGAGAGAGACAGAGUAGCAUAGCUAUAAGAGCCAUUCUCCACGAGUUAGCCACACUUGGGCACAUGCAUUCAGAAAGAUACUAAAAAUAAACGGGAGGGUGGGACAUAUAAAGGAGAAAGGAAAAAGUGAC